AGGCACUGCGGAGGGAGCACCACCACCACUCGCCAAGGUCUUAAUAGACUCCGCGCUCCAUAAAGUGGACACCGAGCCAGUGACGGCGGAGAUGGCCCGGCGGGCGCCCACCGGCAUUGGCUGCGCUCCGAUUACUUCGUUAAGCAGUGUCAUGCUUCUUCUUCUUUUUUUUCUUUUUCUUUUCUUUUCUUUUUUUUUUUUAAUUUUUCCCUCCUACUGUGAGAACUGUUCACUUGGAGACUCCCUGUCUUAAUUACAAAGAGCCCUUUUAACCAUAGGUCACAGGACUUGGCUCUCUUGACAGGAAAUAAGGAAACAAGCUACCUUCCUGGAAAAAAAAAUUCAAACUUCUACUUCUCAAAUUAGUUAAAUGAAGCUUGUCGACGGUUGGGAGUUGAGCCUUAUGACAGUUGGCUAAUUGCAGUUGGUACAUUAACUAUGUUUUAACCAGAGCAGUUUGGGAUCUAAGUAGAUUAAAAAAAUAAAGCAAGCCUAGGCAUUUCCAACGAAAAACACUUAAAAUAACCACAAAGUUAAUAUUGGUUUUACUUGCUAUAUGUAUUACAAUACAAAAUGGAUUCCUGUAUCUUUAACAUUGUAAUUAAGUAAAUUUACAAAUAUUAACAUUUUUAAAAUGACACUAAAGCUACUUUAAAUCCUAGGAAGGCCUCUCUCUCUCUCUCUCUCUCUGCCCUUUCUUUUUUGAUUCUGCCUUCAAAAUGUCCUCUGUCUGUAUUUUUUAUAUUAAAUAUUCGCUGCAAAGUCUAUCUAGUAAAUAUCUGGUUCCAAGUCUGUGUACACCAUUCUCAAAUAUAAAACUUUUCAAAUGAAGAUAAACCUUUAGUUGAAUUGGUUUAUUUUCUGAUUUGAUUCUUUAAUGUUAUUAUAGAAGAUGGAAUAUCAUUUACAGUAACAUUAAAAAAAACUCUGGUGGUUUUCUUAUUGAAAGGCUUAUAAUAACAAGCAGAAAUAAAGCAACCAAGAUUUAGAAAAAUAUCGUAGUGUUUUUGCAUAUUUAAUUUAUUAUUUACACUAACAUAUAAUGUCAGAAUGAUAAUUAUAAUGUGGCCUGAGUUACAAGAAUAUAAAAGAAUAAAAAGUCUAAGAAG
rnacentral:lncRNA from 1 species